rnacentral:sRNA from 1 species
AUGGAUUAUUAUGACCAAAACCAAAAAAAAAC